ACGGGAGGCAGCAGUGGGGAAUAUUGGGCAGUGGGCGAAAGCCUGACCCAGCGACGCCGCGUGAAGGAAGAAGGUCUUCGGAUUGUAAACUUCUUUUAUAUGGGACGAAACAAAUGACGGUACCAUAUGAAUAAGCCACGGCUAACUACGUGCCAGCAGCCGCGGUAAUACGUAGGGAGCAAGCGUUAUCCGGAAUUACUGGGUGUAAAGGGAGUGUAGGCGGGACUGUAAGUCAGAUGUGAAAUAUGCCGGCUCAACCGGCAGACUGCGUUUGAAACUGCGGUUCUUGAGUGAAGUAGAGGUAAGCGGAAUUCCUAGUGUAGCGGUGAAAUGCGUAGAUAUUAGGAGGAACAUCAGUGGCGAAGGCGGCUUACUGGGCUUUAACUGACGCUGAGGCUCGAAAGCGUGGGGAGCAAACAGGAUUAGAUACCCUGGUA
rnacentral:rRNA from 1 species